rnacentral:rRNA from 1 species
GACGAACGCUGGCGGCGUGCUUAACACAUGCAAGUCGAACGGAAAGGCCCUGCUUUUGUGGGGUGCUCGAGUGGCGAACGGGUGAGUAACACGUGAGUAACCUGCCCUUGACUUUGGGAUAACUUCAGGAAACUGGGGCUAAUACCGGAUAGGAGCUCCUGCUGCAUGGUGGGGGUUGGAAAGUUUCGGCGGUUGGGGAUGGACUCGCGGCUUAUCAGCUUGUUGGUGGGGUAGUGGCUUACCAAGGCUUUGACGGGUAGCCGGCCUGAGAGGGUGACCGGCCACAUUGGGACUGAGAUACGGCCCAGACUCCUACGGGAGGCAGCAGUGGGGAAUAUUGCACAAUGGGCGGAAGCCUGAUGCAGCAACGCCGCGUGCGGGAUGACGGCCUUCGGGUUGUAAACCGCUUUCGCCUGUGACGAAGCGUGAGUGACGGUAAUGGAUAAAGAAGCACCGGCUAACUACGUGCCAGCAGCCGCGGUGAUACGUAGGGUGCGAGCGUUGUCCGGAUUUAUUGGGCGUAAAGGGCUCGUAGGUGGUUGAUCGCGUCGGAAGUGUAAUCUUGGGGCUUAACCCUGAGCGUGCUUUCGAUACGGGUUGACUUGAGGAAGGUAGGGGAGAAUGGAAUUCCUGGUGGAGCGGUGGAAUGCGCAGAUAUCCGAAGAACACCAGUGGCGAAGGGCGGUUCUCUGGGCCUUUCCUGACGCUGAGGAACGAAAGCGUGGGGGAGCGAACAGGCUUAGAUACCCUGGUAGUCCACGCUGUAAACGGUGGGUACUAGGUGGGGGGUCCAUUCCACGGGUUCCGUGCCGUAGCUAACGCUUUAAGUACCCCGUCUGGGGAGUACGGCCGCAAGGGCUAAAACUCAAAGGAAUUGACGGGGCCCCGCACAAGCGGCGGAGCAUGCGGAUUAAUUCGAUGCAACGCGUAGAACCUUACCUGGGUUUGACAUGGAUCGGGAGUGCUCAGAGAUGGGUGUGCCUCUUUUGGGGUCGGUUCACAGGUGGUGCAUGCCUGUCGUCAGCUCGUGUCGUGAGAUGUUGGGUUAAGUCCCGCAACGAGCGCAACCCUUGUUCACUGUUGCCAGCACGUUAUGGUGGGGACUCAGUGGAGACCGCCGGGGUCAACUCGGAGGAAGGUGGGGAUGACGUCAAGUCAUCAUGCCCCUUAUGUCCAGGGCUUCACGCAUGCUACAAUGGCUGGUACAGAGAGUGGCGAGCCUGUGAGGGUGAGCGAAUAUCGGAAAGCCGGUCUCAGUUCGGAUUGGGGUCUGCAACUCGACCUCAUGAAGUCGGAGUCGCUAGUAAUCGCAGAUCAGCAACGCUGCGGUGAAUACGUUCCCGGG